rnacentral:rRNA from 1 species
CCUACGGGGGGCAGCAGUGGGGAAUAUUGGUCAAUGGAGGAAACUCUGAACCAGCAACGCCGCGUGAAUGAUGAAGGUCUUCGGAUUGUAAAGUUCUUUUCUAAGGGAAGAAGAUAGUGACGGUACCUUAGGAAUAAGCCUCGGCUAACUACGUGCCAGCAGCCGCGGUAAUACGUAGGAGGCAAGCGUUAUCCGGAAUGACUGGGCGUAAAGGGUGCGUAGGUGGUUUGGCAAGUUAGUAGCGUAACCCCGGGGCUCAACCUCGGAACUACUACUAAAACUGUCGGACUUGAGUGCAGGAGGGGCAAUUGGAAUUCCUAGUGUAGCGGUGGAAUGCGUAGAUAUUAGGAGGAACACCAGUGGCGAAGGCGAAUUGCUGGACUGUAACUGACACUGAGGCACGAAAGCGUGGGGAGCAAACAGGAUUAGAU